rnacentral:rRNA from 1 species
GAUGAACGCUGGCGGCGUGCCUAAUACAUGCAAGUCGAGCGAACAGACGAGGAGCUUGCUCCUCUGACGUUAGCGGCGGACGGGUGAGUAACACGUGGAUAACCUACCUAUAAGACUGGGAUAACUUCGGGAAACCGGAGCUAAUACCGGAUAACAUGUUGAACCGCAUGGUUCAACAGUGAAAGACGGUUUUGCUGUCACUUAUAGAUGGAUCCGCGCCGCAUUAGCUAGUUGGUAAGGUAACGGCUUACCAAGGCAACGAUGCGUAGCCGACCUGAGAGGGGGAUCGGCCAACCGGAAACGAGGACCCGGUCCAGGCCCCUAGGGGAGGAAGAAGUGGGGAAUUUUCCGCAAUGGGGGAAAGCCUGAGGGAGCAACGCCGGGGGAGUGAAGAAGGUUUUGGGAUCUUAAAACUUUGUUAUAGGGAAAAAAAAAAUGUGUAAAUAAAUUUGCACUUUUUGCCGGGACCAAAGCAAAAAGCCACGGCAAAAUACGU